UUUAAUUCAUUAGCCAAUACAAUCACAUACCGUGUAAGUAAGACAUAUAUAUUAUUUGUAUUUUCCUUCCAUUUGAGACCACAUAGGCCUAAUACAAUACCUUCAAAUGGUAAGCUAACCGCCAGGGGGCGUUGCUGGAGAAGGUAGAGGAGCUGAGUGAACAACUGAAACAAGAGCGACAGAGCGCGCUGACACUGGAGGGACAGCUCACCACUACUACUCUUUCUAAGCAAGCCCUCGAGGAGGUACUGCAACGAGUCUGCAAGUAGUGGUGGAGGAAGUGGGUAGAAGUUGUCCCUCCCUACCCAUAAAUACAGGGUCAGACACUUCUAACUUUAUACUAUUCUAUUCAGUUCCAAGAGAGAGUGUCAGACCUGGAAGGAGAUAAGAAUCUACUGAAGGACAGCUAUGACACACUCCUGGAGAGAACCAAUGGGUGUGCCUGAGUCUUAAACCUCUCAACUAGAUGCAGACCUGAAGACAUUCAAGCAGCACUUUGAGAGCAAGCAUCCCAAGUCUCCAAUGGUCCCAGUACUGGUUGGGCAGGCUUAAGUGACCACACAUUCUCAAAUGGACCUACAGCUGGAGUAAGAUUCUUCCAUCAUUCACACACAGUAGACAUAAUGUAAGCUGUCCUCAAUGCUUAAGUUGUAUUGUCUAUGGCUCAAUUUGUGGAAAUGCUGUGAUCGCUCGUCUUUAAUGUUGUGAUUCACAGACACACGAUGACCAUGAUUUGAAUGCUGCAAUUGAGACGGAAUGACAUAGAGGGACACACGCUCAGACCCUGAGUGUGACUGGACAUGGGCCGGAUAUUUGUGACAACGACUUAAAAGGGGUGCAGAAGCACACCAGCACCCCAUUUUAUGUUUAUUCCAUGGCCAACCAUCUCUCUAGCUACCCUUUAUUCUACACUAUGCCUUUUAUGACCCAUGAUCCCUCAACUUCGGACACUUUGGAACUCUCAAUCUUAUCUCUAUAAACCUACCCUACCUUUACCCAUUUUCUAUAUGCUGCUUCCUUAACUUGUUCUUCUCCUGAUUUGAUAACACCUAGACUGAGUAAUACGUUUAAAAGUGUUGUGAUGUACUGUUUUUGCUAUCUUUUUUUCACCUGUGUAAACCUGUCCUGCUUAUUCUGGGGUUCAGACUGAAUGCAGUGGUAAAUGUACUGCUUACAAUUGACAGCAGCAACAUGGACCUGUUAAAUUGACAAGAAGGGUGUUGAUUUACAGUAGCUGCGUUUAGGCAUGGCCUCCUUGUUUUGAGUCUGUUAAGUGUGUUUCUCAUUCUGCUGGAGUUGACCUAGUAUUUUAUAUAAAACCUACCGUAAGCAUCCAGUUUCCAUUUUUAACUCACCCACAAAAGCACAAUAUGCUGUUUUACAUUUUGUGUUAUUUGAACUGGUCUAAUUCCUAAAAUGGAAAAGCAGAAGAAUCUGUGCGCUCUUGGAUAGUAAUAAUAAUUCAUAUGGUGC